rnacentral:tRNA from 1 species
GCCUGGGUGGCUCAGUCGGUUGAGCGUCCGACUUCGGCUCAGGUCGUGAUCUCAUGGUCCGUGAGUUCGAGCCCCGCAUCGGGCU